rnacentral:rRNA from 1 species
UCAAUAAUAAGUCUGACGGAGCACGCCGCCGUGAGUGAUGAAGGUUUUCGGAUCGUAAAGCUCUGUUGUUAGGGAAGAACAAGUACCGUUCGAAUAGGGCGGUACCUUGACGGUACCUAACCAGAAAGCCACGGCUAACUACGUGCCCCGGCCGCGGU